AGCGCACGCUGGCGGCAGGCUUAACACAUGCAAGUCGAACGCCCCGCAAGGGGAGUGGCAGACGGGUGAGUAACGCGUGGGAAUCUACCGUACCCUACGGAAUAACGCAUGGAAACGUGUGCUAAUACCGUAUACGCCCUACGGGGGAAAGAUUUAUCGGGGUAUGAUGAGCCCGCGUUGGAUUAGCUAGUUGGUGGGGUAAAGGCCUACCAAGGCGACGAUCCAUAGCUGGUCUGAGAGGAUGAUCAGGCACAUUGGGACUGAGACACGGCCCAGACUCCUACGGGAGGCAGCAGUGGGGAAUAUUGGACAAUGGGCGCAAGCCUGAUCCAGCCAUGCCGCGUGAGUGAUGAAGGCCUUAGGGUUGUAAAGCUCUUUCACCGGAGAAGAUAAUGACGGUAUCCGGAGAAGAAGCCCCGGCUAACUUCGUGCCAGCAGCCGCGGUAACAC
rnacentral:rRNA from 1 species